AUUAGGGGUGCCCGUUGGGGUUUGUGAUCUGGGUUUCCUAUGGUCCUUAAAUGUCGAUUUGUUUCUUUCAUGUGCUCAUAUAAGACCUCGAGGUCACUGAGCUUCCCUCAAACUGGAAUCUUGAGCUCUCUCCCUUCCAGAAAAAGGGGUUUAGAGUUACCAUCACUUGGAGUUUAGGGUAAGAAUUACUAACACCCAGACAGACAGGGGUCACAGUUCUCGAUUCUUUUAGUGCCAAGGUCUUGGGUCGUUGAGCUUUAAAAACAUAAAUCUGACGUUGCCAUUCAUUAGAGAACAGGAUCAGAGGUCAUAGUCACUUGCAAACGGGGAAUCUAGGAUAAUUGUCUCCUAAGAGAACAAAAAUAAGAUCACUGUACCACCACCACCACCGUAAAAAGGGGAUCUGUGUUUACGCUCCUUUAGAGCAUGGGGAUUUGAACGGUAUAUUUUUUACAGGUCGGGAUUUGGGGUUACUGUGCCUCCAACCAACAGAGCCAGGUUUGAAACAUAAGACCUGACAUCAUUACCAACCCAAACAUCUAGAGCUGU